CAGAAGCGUAUAUUAAUGUUGUUGCAGUUAAAACGCUCGUAGUUGGAUCUUGGAGAAGGGUGGAACUCUGUCCGCCUGAAGGCGAGUACGGAUUCUCCCUCUCUGUAUUUGGCAACAGAUCAUGGUGGCCCUUAGUUGGGUUCAUCAUUCGGUGGAGGGAGACUGAAGCCGAGGCGAGGGUGCGGAGGAUGGCGGGCAGUGAAAGCUGAACGUCACGCCGUAGUCUGGUGGUUCUUUGCCACAUUUACUUUGAAAAAAAUAGAGUGCUCAAAGCAGACCUUAGGGUCAUUGAAUAAUUCAGCAUGGGAUAAUAGAACAGGAGUGCGAACUCAUUUGUUGGUAUUGUGGGUUUGAACUAAUGAUAAAAAGAGACCGUCGGGGUGGUUUGUAUUGAAAAGCUAGAGGUGAAAUUCUUGGAUUUUUUCAAGACAAACUACUGCGAAAGCAAUCCACUAGGAGGUUCUCAUUAA
rnacentral:rRNA from 1 species